rnacentral:rRNA from 1 species
UACGAAGGGGGCUAGCGUUGCUCGGAAUCACUGGGCGUAAAGGGUGCGUAGGCGGGUUUUUAAGUCAGAGGUGAAAUCCUGGAGCUCAACUCCAGAACUGCCUUUGAUACUGGGAAUCUUGAGUAUGGAAGAGGUGAGUGGAACUGCGAGUGUAGAGGUGAAAUUCGUAGAUAUUCGGAAGAACACCCGUGGCGAAGGCGGUUCUCUGGGGACGGUACUGACGCUGAGACGCGAAAGCGUGGGGGAGGCGAACAGG